GUGUAUGAACAAAUAUGGCGCCUAAGUGAUUAUAAAACAUCGCUUGAAAAUAGAUUGCACCAUCUGAAAAAAAUGAUAACAGAGAUCGAGGAUCAGAAGACACGAGAUCUUAGUAACCAAAAACAUACCAUGCAAAUUCUGUCGACGUUGAACACUGAGGACUUGAGGUUGAUACAAUUGUGUGACGAAAAGCUAAAGAUGUACAAUAAUAUCGAUCGACAAGGUAUUCCACAUAGAGGAUCUCUUAGUCAAUUUCGAGGAAGUCUUGAACGCAUAAGAUAUAAUAUCGAGAGAAUUUCGAUGUGUACAGACCACAACAGUCGCAUCCACGGAGUUUUACUUUCCGAAAUAACAUCUGCAUUCGAUAAAAUUAACACAUUUGAACUAUACACACUAUAACUUGUAAUAUAGACGUGUAUUGUUAUUGCAUUUCAAUUUGAUUUACUUUUAGAUAAAAAUAUAUUAUUUUAAAUUUAUCAUCAUUUGUUGACGUAACAUUUAGGCGGAAGAUUGUCUCAGAGCAAUACAUAUCAGACAUUUUUCACGAACCUUGAUUUAAAUUAAAUGAUUGAUAAGAAGAAGAAAGGAAUAUUCGUCAUUGUUAUCUUUAA